CCUACGGGGUGCUGCAGUGAGGAAUAUUGGUCAAUGGACGAGAGUCUGAACCAGCCAAGUAGCGUGAAGGAUGACUGCCCUAUGGGUUGUAAACUUCUUUUAUAAAGGAAUAAAACGAGGCACGUGUGCCUUUUUGCAUGUACUUUAUGAAUAAGGAUCGGCUAACUCCGUGCCAGCAGCCGCGGUAAUACGGAGGAUCCGAGCGUUAUCCGGAUUUAUUGGGUUUAAAGGGAGCGUAGAUGGGUUGUUAAGUCAGUUGUGAAAGUUUGCGGCUCAACCGUAAAAUUGCAAUUGAUACUGGUAGUCUUGAGUACAGUUGAGGUAGGCGGAAUUCGUGGUGUAGCGGUGAAAUGCUUAGAUAUCACGAAGAACCCCGAUUGCGAAGGCAGCUUACUAAACUGUGACUGACAUUGAUGCUCGAAAGUGUGGGUAUCAAACAGGAUUAGAUACCCUGGUAGUC
rnacentral:rRNA from 1 species